rnacentral:tRNA from 1 species
UGGGCCGUGGUGUAGUGGGUCGCACGCCUGGCUUUGAAUCAGGAAGUCCGGGUUCGAGUCCCGGCGGCCCGG